GAUGAACGCUGGCGGCGUGCCUAACACAUGCAAGUCGAACGAAGCGCCUGGCCCCGACUUCUUCGGAACGAGGAGCCUUGCGACUGAGUGGCGGACGGGUGAGUAACGCGUGGGCAACCUGCCUUGCACUGGGGGAUAACAGCCAGAAAUGGCUGCUAAUACCGCAUAAGACCGAAGCGCCGCAUGGCGCGGCGGCCAAAGCCCCGGCGGUGCAAGAUGGGCCCGCGUUGGAUUAGCCCAGUUGGCAGGGUAACGGCCUACCAAAGCGACGAUCCAUAGCCGGCCUGAGAGGGGUGAACGGCCACAUUGGGACUGAGACACGGCCCAGACUCCUACGGGAGGCAGCAGUGGGGAAUAUUGCACAAUGGGGGAAACCCUGAUGCAGCGACGCCG
rnacentral:rRNA from 1 species